CAGCAGCCGCGGUAAUACGUAGGGUGCGAGCGUUAAUCGGAAUUACUGGGCGUAAAGCGUGCGCAGGCGGUUGCGUAAGACAGGUGUGAAAUCCCCGGGCUUAACCUGGGAACUGCGCUUGUGACUGCACAGCUAGAGUAUGGCAGAGGGGGGUGGAAUUCCACGUGUAGCAGUGAAAUGCGUAGAGAUGUGGAGGAACACCGAUGGCGAAGGCAGCCCCCUGGGCCAAUACUGACGCUCAUGCACGAAAGCGUGGGGAGCAAACAGGAUUAGAUACCCCCGUAGUCCCUGUCUCUUAUAC
rnacentral:rRNA from 1 species